GCAGCAACUUCUUAUCAACAGGCUUGUUGGAUAUGAUAUUAUUCUGAUUAAUAGUUUGUUGAGUUCUCCGGGUCAAGGUUGGGUUGGCUGAUAUUCUAGAUAUGUAUGAAGAUGUGUAUACACUUCCUUCUAAACAACUGUCUUCUGGUGCAGUUGCAAAGGCUGUGAAUCUUUCUUCUCGUAAGGUAUUUCAUUUGCAUUUGAGACUACUGCCUAUACCCAAAGCUCUAAAAUAUUUUAUUUCUUGUUACUUUUUGAAACUGUGACAAGCUGACAAUGUGACUUCUCAUCAGAAGAAGACAAUUAGUUUAGCCCUUUCUAUAAUUUUGACAUUAAGGCUGCCUCAAGUACUAGAUAAAUUCGAACAAAUUCUAAGGUAUUUACUCAGCUUUUAUUUUGAUUCAUUGCUGCAUAUUUUCUGGUUUUAUAUAUAAAUAAUUCAAAUACUGUAAAUAAUGAUCCCUCGGUGUCGUGGUUUUUUGAGGCACAAGGAGGAUCAUACAUUGAGAUUAUCCAUUGCAAACUGAUGAGUGGAAAGUAUAUUUCGGUUUGUUUCGAUGAGCAUUUGACAUAGAUCAGUUCAAUUCUCAUUGCUGCUUGGAAUUUGGUUAUUGGCUUUUUCCUUGUGGUUCUUUUGUAUGAUGGACAAGUUGUCUCUUGGAAGAAUGAACAGAGAGAAGAGUUGCUAUUCAGGUUCUAAGUAGUUUAUUAUCAAAAAGAUAGACUACUUUUACUUGACUCAUUCUAGUUCCUUAAUUUUUGAAUCUAAUUGCAAUUUUAAUUCCUAUGUUUGAACCAAACACCGUACCCAUGAUUUAAUAUUCGUUUGUUCUUUAGAUCAAGAAUUAGAUUCAAUGGAAAAAUUUGUACUUCUUAA